UGGAGGGGCGCUGCAGGAGGGGGCGACGGAUAUAAGGACUCGAGAUCCGCCGCGGGAAUGAUCCACGAACUACUCUUGGCUCUGAGCGGAUACCCAGGGUCCAUUUUCACGUGGAACAAGCGGAGUGGCCUCCAGGUGUCACAGGACUUCCCAUUUCUCCAUCCCAGUGAAACCAGCGUCCUGAAUCGACUCUGCCGGCUGGGCACAGACUAUAUUCGCUUCACCGAGUUCAUUGAACAGUACACGGGCCAUGUGCAGCAGCAGGAUCACCAUCCAUCUCAGCAGGGCCAAGGUGGGUUACAUGGAAUCUACCUAAGGGCCUUCUGCACAGGACUGGAUUCAGUUUUGCAGCCUUAUCGCCAAGCACUGCUUGAUUUGGAACAAGAGUUCCUGGCUGAUCCCCAUCUGUCCAUAUCACAUGUCAAUUACUCCUUGGAUCAGUUCCAGCUCCUUUUCCCCUCUGUCAUGGUUGUGGUAGAACAAAUUAAAAGUCAAAAGAUUCAUGGUUGUCAAAUCCUGGAAACGGUAUACAAACACAGCUGCGGAGGUUUGCCCCCUGUUCGAAGUGCACUAGAAAAGAUCCUGGCCGUGUGUCAUGGGGUCAUGUAUAAGCAGCUCUCAGCCUGGAUGCUCCAUGGACUCCUCCUGGACCAGCACGAAGAGUUUUUUAUCAAACAGGGUCCUUCUUCUGGGAAUGUCAGUGCCCAGCCAGAAGAGGACGAGGAGGAUCUGGGCAUUGGGGGACUGACAGGAAAACAGUUGAGAGAACUCCAGGACUUGCGCCUGAUAGAGGAAGAGAACAUGCUGGCACCAUCUCUAAAACAGUUUUCCCUACGAGUGGAGAUUUUGCCAUCCUACAUUCCAGUGAGGGUUGCUGAAAAAAUCCUGUUUGUUGGAGAAUCUGUCCAGAUGUUUGAGAACCAAAAUGUAAACCUGACUAGGAAAGGAUCCAUUUUGAAGAACCAGGAGGACACCUUUGCUGCAGAACUUCAUCGGCUCAAGCAGCAGCCACUCUUCAGCCUGGUGGACUUCGAGCAGGUGGUGGAUCGUAUUCGUAGUACUGUGGCCGAGCAUCUCUGGAAGCUGAUGGUGGAAGAGUCAGAUUUACUGGGUCAGCUGAAGAUCAUCAAAGACUUUUACCUUCUGGGACGCGGAGAACUGUUUCAGGCCUUCAUUGACACAGCUCAACACAUGUUAAAAACACCACCCACUGCAGUAACUGAACAUGAUGUGAAUGUGGCCUUCCAGCAGUCUGCACAUAAGGUAUUGCUGGAUGAUGACAACCUUCUCCCUCUGUUGCACUUGACGAUUGAGUAUCAUGGAAAGGACCAUAAAGAUGCUGCUCAGGCGAGAGAAGGGCCUUCUCGGGAAACUUCUCCCCGGGAAGCCCCUGCAUCUGGCUGGGCAGCCCUAGGUCUCUCCUACAAAGUGCAAUGGCCACUGCACAUUCUGUUCACCCCUGCUGUUCUGGAAAAGUACAACGUCGUCUUCAAGUACCUGCUGAGCGUGCGCCGGGUGCAGGCUGAGCUGCAGCACUGCUGGGCCCUGCAGAUGCAGCGCAAGCACCUCAAGUCCAACCAGACCGACGCGGUCAAGUGGCGCCUGAGAAACCACAUGGCAUUCUUGGUGGACAAUCUGCAGUACUAUCUCCAGGUAGAUGUGCUGGAGUCUCAGUUCUCACAGCUGCUGCAUCAGAUCAACUCCACCCGAGACUUUGAAAGCAUCCGAUUGGCUCACGACCACUUCCUUAGCAACUUGCUGGCUCAGUCCUUUAUCUUGUUGAAACCUGUGUUUCACUGCCUGAAUGAAAUCCUAGAUCUCUGUCACAGCUUUUGCUCGCUGGUCAGUCAGAACUUGGGCCCACUGGAUGAACGUGGGGCUGCCCAGCUGAGCAUCCUGGUGAAGGGCUUUAGCCGCCAGUCGUCACUCCUAUUUAAGAUUCUCUCCAGCGUUCGCAAUCAUCAGAUCAACUCAGAUUUGGCUCAACUACUCUUACGACUAGAUUAUAACAAAUACUACACCCAGGCUGGUGGAACUCUGGGCAGCUUAUUUUCCAGUAAAAGCCAUCAUCAUAGUAACAUACUAAAACCCCUGAUGCGGAGAUGGGUGUUUAGGUUUUGGCUGGGCUGAUGCCCUGCUGGGAAGCAGUGUGGCUGUGGUUCCCAGUUCUGACAUGAACUAGCUGUGCAGCCGCAGAGCCCUGCCUGCCUCACCGGCCCCCAGCUUCCAAGUCUGGGAAAGUUUUGGGAUGUGAAAACAUCUGGUUCACAAACUAACAGGCCCAUCAUGUUCCCAAAUCUGUGACAGAAGAUUCAAAACACUCCAGCCUUUCAACAAAUGCCUGCAGACUACUGAGGGCUCUACCUUUUUCUGCUAGAAGCAAUACUACUGAACACCCGUGGGCACAAAUGCUUCCCAUGUGGAAGGGUAUGCCCUUAGGGGAGUUCGUCACUCACCCACCAUGGAAGACAUGUGGUGUCAGCUCUCCCUCUGCCGGCCUUGCCAGAUCCAGUCCACGGAGAACAUCCGUGGGGCACAUCCAUGCAUUGAGCACCUGCUAUGCGCCUAGGUACUGUUCAAGCUGCGAGACCCAGCAGUAAGAACUCCCACUUAUCUCACGCUGGUAAAAGGGCAAUCCUAGCUAUUGACAAUGUAUUAAAGUAGUAUUCUAACAAAGAAAAAAGGGUCCUUAAGAAAACUGAGGUCAAAUUCUUAAGAUUUCAAGUACUGAAAAUUACAGGUCUAAUUAUCCCCUCUUCGAAGAACCAUAGGAGUUGAGGUUCUCCUAACCUGGCCCAACCAUUACUGGUAAUUAUUAAUGUUCAUAUUGGUGUGAACCAAAAUACUCAUUGAACAACUCCCUCCAUCCUGAACAAGAAUGCAGCAAUCCAGCCUCAGUCUGUAGCUACUGAAUCUGGUUCUUAUCUCUGCGUCUUCUACCACAUACUACGUCCUGUUUCCUACAGUUGUGUGCUGAGGAUGACCCCUUCUACUGCUGCCUGUGGAGAAGUUAGCAAACCAUGGCCUGCCACCUGUUGCUGUAAAUAAAGUUUUAUCGGAACCC